rnacentral:rRNA from 1 species
AUUGAACGCUGGCGGCAGGCCUAACACAUGCAAGUCGAGCGGAUGAAGGGAGCUUGCUCCUGGAUUCAGCGGCGGACGGGUGAGUAAUGCCUAGGAAUCUGCCUGGUAGUGGGGGAUAACGUCCGGAAACGGGCGCUAAUACCGCAUACGUCCUGAGGGAGAAAGUGGGGGAUCUUCGGACCUCACGCUAUCAGAUGAGCCUAGGUCGGAUUAGCUAGUUGUUGGGGUAAAGGCCUACCAAGGCGACGAUCCGUAACUGGUCUGAGAGGAUGAUCAGUCACACUGGAACUGAGACACGGUCCAGACUCCUACGGGAGGCAGCAGUGGGGAAUAUUGGACAAUGGACGAAAGCCUGAUCCAGCCAUGCCGCGUGUGUGAAGAAGGUCUUCGGAUUGUAAAGCACUUUAAGUUGGGAGGAAGGGCAGUAAGUUAAUACCUUGCUGUUUUGACGUUACCAACAGAAUAAGCACCGGCUAACUUCGUG